AUCCCCUCCCCUCCUGGCCUGCCCACCUGGAACGAGGUGUGGGCAGCACAAUUUAGCUGCCAAGAGCAGCCUGUUCCUAACUGAGCAUGGUCUGAAAAGCCGUGCAGCCAUGGUUCCCCUCUGGUCCAGCUACCUAAAUGCCCUUCCUGCCUUCCUUCCCACGCCAGCAGAAGAGCAUCCAAAAUUAAACGGCCAGAAAUAGAUCUGCUUGGACCAGAAGUGGCAAGAAAUGCUCCAGGCCUUCUGGAACCUCAGCAGCCCAGCUCACCCCAUGGGGAACUAAAGAUGGCUAAUUAUGGGCAGCUCAGACCAAAGGCAGAGGAUGAAGCCAGAGAGGUGCCUGGCCAGAAGAGACUUUUGGGCUCCACUUCCUCCCGGCCCGUUGUGCCCUCCAGACGUCCUAUUGCUUUGCAUCUCUUUAACCAGAUGCUCGAGCCUUGCCAGCUUCCAGUCGACUGAACAGGACUGGAAGUCAGAGUCCAACAGUCACGUACUUGAGUGAUUAUGGUUCCCCACGGCCAGGACACACCUUCUCGCCCUACUAGCCUGCCUACCCCAGGCAGCUGACAUCAUGAUGUAACUCCUGUAGUGACUUGACCCCAUCAUACAGUUGGAAAGAGACUGGACAAGAUGGAGAUGUGGCUGAAGAGGCAGCAGGGGACUGACUCCAGGGACGCUGGCAUACCAGCCAAGGAUGACGGGCCAGACUGGCAGGAUUUGGGCUGUUUCCAACGUUUUGAUACUGGGAACAGUGCUGGUAUGAAUAUUCUCGUACAUACCUAGGAGAGGAAUAGCCAGCAUGUGAAGCUUGUGAAGGCUCGACUUUAAGAGGCAAUGCCAAGCUGUUUCCCAAAACGGCAAUAUAAUUUUGAGAGAAAAAAAGAAAGUCCAAAAAGAUCAUACAAACUCUCUGUAUUAUCUUCUCAAUUUUUCUGUAAAUCUAAAACUGUUCUAAAAGUUAAAGUCUUUUUAAAAAUUAUAUAGCAUAAUACCCUUCUUAAAGUUAAAAAUGACUAAAACUAAAAAUAUUUUAGAGGCUGCAUUUAG
rnacentral:lncRNA from 1 species